rnacentral:rRNA from 1 species
AUUGAACGCUGGCGGCAGGCCUAACACAUGCAAGUCGAGCGGAUGAAGGGAGCUUGCUCCUGGAUUCAGCGGCGGACGGGUGAGUAAUGCCUAGGAAUCUGCCUGGUAGUGGGGGAUAACGUCCGGAAACGGGCGCUAAUCCCGCAUACGCCCUGAGGGAGAAAGUGGGGGUUCUUCGGACCUCACGCUAUCAGAUGAGCCUAGGUCGGAUUAGCUAGUUGGUGGGGUAAAGGCCUACCAAGGCGACGAUCCGUAACUGGUCUGAGAGGAUGAUCAGUCACACUGGAACUGAGACACGGUCCAGACUCCUACGGGAGGCAGCAGUGGGGAAUAUUGGACAAUGGGCGAAAGCCUGAUCCAGCCAUGCCGCGUGUGUGAAGAAGGUCUUCGGAUUGUAAAGCACUUUAAGUUGGGAGGAAGGGCAGUAAGUUAAUACCUUGCUGUUUUGACGUUACCAACAGAAUAAGCACCGGCUAACUUCGUG